UUAAUAUUAUUUAUUAAUAAUAUUUAAUUUUUAUUAAUUAAAUUUUUUUGUAUUUUCAGGCAAAAUUAUCACAAGAACGCAAAAAUAUCUCAAGAACGUGUAAAUCAAAUCAUGCAGACUAUUAUUAUUCGUUAUACAUGAAUUUUCAACAUUAAAAUCAACAAGAUUUUUUGUAUUCAUAAUUUUUUGCGUUUUUUGAACACGAACAAAAAUGUCUAUAAUUUAAAUUCCGUUUAAUUAUAAAUAAUUUUAAAUUGUACAUAUUAUUUCAAAUUGUCAGCAAAUUGUUCAUAUCUGCCUUAUUUGAGCGAAGCAAAGACUAAUACUUUUCUCGAGAAAUCACGCUUUUGACUUAUUAAAGAAAUAAAAAUGUUUUCUUUA